rnacentral:rRNA from 1 species
AGUGAACGCUGGCGGUAGGCCUAACACAUGCAAGUCGAACGGCAGCACAGUAAGAGCUUGCUCUUACGGGUGGCGAGUGGCGGACGGGUGAGGAAUACAUCGGAAUCUACUUUUUCGUGGGGGAUAACGUAGGGAAACUUACGCUAGUACCGCAUACGACCUACGGGUGAAAGCAGGGGAUCUUCGGACCUUGCGCGAUUGAAUGAGCCGAUGUCGGAUUAGCUAGUUGGCGGGGUAAAGGCCCACCAAGGCGACGAUCCGUAGCUGGUCUGAGAGGAUGAUCAGCCACACUGGAACUGAGACACGGUCCAGACUCCUACGGGAGGCAGCAGUGGGGAAUAUUGGACAAUGGGCGCAAGCCUGAUCCAGCCAUACCGCGUGGGUGAAGAAGGCCUUCGGGUUGUAAAGCCCUUUUGCUGGGAAAGAAAAGCAGCAGGUUAAUACCCCGCUGUUCUGACGGUACCCAAAGAAUAAGCACCGGCUAACUUCGUG